GCUCGCGUAGCCUAAUCGGAUAGGGCCGUCACACUUCUAAUCUGAAGAUUGCGGGUUCAAGUCCCGCCGUGAGUG
rnacentral:tRNA from 1 species